rnacentral:rRNA from 1 species
GAGCUUGCUCUCGGGUGACGAGUGGCGGACGGGUGAGUAAUGUCUGGGAAACUGCCUGAUGGAGGGGGAUAACUACUGGAAACGGUAGCUAAUACCGCAUAACGUAGCAAGACCAAAGAGGGGGACCUUCGGGUCUCUUGCCAUCAGAUGUGCCCAGAUGGGAUUAGCUAGUAGGUGGGGUAAUGGCUCACCUAGGCGACGAUCCCUAGCUGGUCUGAGAGGAUGACCAGCCACACUGGAACUGAGACACGGUCCAGACUCCUACGGGAGGCAGCAGUGGGGAAUAUUGCACAAUGGGCGCAAGCCUGAUGCAGCCAUGCCGCGUGUAUGAAGAAGGCCUUCGGGUUGUAAAGUACUUUCAGCGGGGAGGAAGGUGUUGUGGUUAAUAACCGCAGCAAUUGACGUUACCCGCAGAAGAAGCACCGGCUAACUCCGUGCCAGCAGCCGCGGUAAUACGGAGGGUGCAAGCGUUAAUCGGAAUUACUGGGCGUAAAGCGCACGCAGGCGGUCUGUCAAGUCGGAUGUGAAAUCCCCGGGCUCAACCUGGGAACUGCAUUCGAAACUGGCAGGCUAGAGUCUUGUAGAGGGGGGUAGAAUUCCAGGUGUAGCGGUGAAAUGCGUAGAGAUCUGGAGGAAUA